rnacentral:lncRNA from 1 species
ACCGCGAUGCGAUCGAGGAGGUGCUCGCGAAGCGCGCCCUCCUCGGGGUUAAACGUCGCGAUGAGCAGCGGCCGGCACGGGUGCCGCAGCGUGAUCCCCUCGCGCUCGACGACGUUGUACCCCUCCGCGAGCACGGACAGCAGGAGGUUGGACACGGACUCGUCCAGGAGGUUGAUCUCGUCGACGUACAAGAUGCCGCGGUGCGCCUCCGCGAGAAGCCCGGGCUGGAACACCGUCUUUCCCUCCUUCAUCGACGCCUCGAUGUCCACCGUGCCGACGAGGCGAUCUUCCGUGACCCCGAGCGGGACUUGCACGAACG